CAGUAGCCGCGGGAAUACAGAGGGUGCGAGCGUUAAUCGGAUUUACUGGGCGUAAAGCGUGUGUAGGCGGCUUCUUAAGUCGGAUGUGAAAUCCCUGAGCUUAACUUAGGAAUUGCAUUCGAUACUGGGAAGCUAGAGUAUGGGAGAGGAUGGUAGAAUUCCAGGUGUAGCGGUGAAAUGCGUAGAGAUCUGGAGGAAUACCGAUGGCGAAGGCAGCCAUCUGGCCUAAUACUGACGCUGAGGUACGAAAGCAUGGGGAGCAAACAGGAUUAGAUACCCGUGUAGUCCCUGUCUCUUAUAC
rnacentral:rRNA from 1 species